GGAGAGGUAGCAUAGUUUGGCCGAAUGCGCACGAUUGGAAAUCGUGUGAGGGUAACACCUCCGCGGGUUCAAAUCCCGCCCUCUCCGCCA
rnacentral:tRNA from 1 species